CUGAGAUUAUCAGUGACAAAACAACCGUCCUUCACAAAAAUAUAAAUAGAAAACAGAAAACAAAAUAUAAGUGUAAUCCUUAUAUAUAUAUGUCCCCGUUUUAAAAAGCAAGCAGAUUUUCCAACAUACCAACCACAUCCUGAUAAUUUUGUACAUGGAGUAAUUCUCGGAAAGAACGCAAGUAACUAUAUCAGUGAAACAUAAUAUUUUAAUUUCUCCAAUAUUUAAUGCCUACAGUGACAUGUUUACUUGGAAAUUACUGUUGGAAACAGCCAUAAUUUUGAGCAAGUUAAACAAGCAGGCUAGUGAAUCAAGCAGAACUAGUCAACUUCCUCCACAAAGAACUAAAGAAACAAAGAGGGAAAGGAUUAAGUGAAACCAUAGACUGUAUAUUAAGCGAAACCAUAGACUAUAUCUCAAUUGUCUGGUUGAAUGCCUUGAAUGGGUACAUUCUUGAAUGGGUAUAUCUCAAGUGUGCACGAGAAAAAAACUCAUCAAUCUUACAAACAGAAGCCAUAUAUCAGCUUUUCCAGAGAUAACACUUGCAGUGGCUUCUGGCACAUUCUUGUCUGAAGAACCGCUGGUUGCAUAGUUUAUAGAAUCCAUGGAACACCACACUGAUGGUUUUAGCAAAUCAAGGUGAGCUCCACUGGACAGUGAAGUUGAGGAAUUUUUCGAGUGUGAAAUAUAAAUACCUUUUCAAGACUCGGAGCAUGAGUUGAGCCAGAAGAAUGUGGUAGAUUUUCUUCUGGUAGAUUUUGGCCUCUCAUACCUCGUGCAAUACUUGUCAAGAUAGAUCGAACACUAAAAUAAGUUUCAACAAGUCAAGUUAGAUUAAAGUUUUCUGUAAAAAAUUCUCCAAUCAAACAGAAGAAACACAAAAUAAAAUAGCAAAGAACAUAAGAAAAUGAUGAUCACUGAAGGAAUACAGCAAGCUCAUAGCCCUUUUGACAAUCUCGUAACCCAGUUUUAAAUAUUGAUUAAAGAAAAGGAUGAUGUUGUCAACCUAUUUCACUGUUAACCCAGUUUUAUAUGCACAAACAUGACUAGUCUCAAAAUGAUAUUUCUUUUAAGUGGAAUUGACCUCCUAAAUAUCACAGCAACUGCCUCUUUCCCAAGCAAUGGAUUGAAGGCAUCAGAAAUUGAGCUUUAGUUUUUACCACUCCUUCAACUGUACUCACACAUAGCAUUUCUAUAAACCAUUAAUAUAUACAGAAGCAUAUGCAUUUUUAUUCCUUAUAUUAGGAUGCUACAGAGAGCCGAGGUCUAUCUACAUCAACAAAAUCAUAGCAAUCUUUAUUACUAUAGGCCACCCUUUGAAUGAAACGAAAAAAAUGUGAAAACAUAGACCUAAUUCUUAACGCAUUCACAAAAGAAAAAUCAACAGAAUCAGACCGACAGUUGAUUGCUCGGGCCUUUAAGAUUCUGUGGUGGUAAUAUUGGGGAUUUCAUGUGGCAAGUGUCAGCUUUUAAAGGGUAUAUAAAUUUCCUAAAAAGCAUCAACUAUUAGGAUCGGGAAAGCAGUCCCACCACGCAAGGAGUUGCCGCAGCCUACGGUAUUUCCCCACUUUUGGCAACCAAAUACUAAAAGUUACAACUUAAUAAUACCUUAGAGAAAACUCAUAUAAAGCAGCAAACUUUACAUAAAAACCCCAUCAUAAAUAAAAUAGGAGUGGUGAAGACGUAAUUGAAGACAAUUUGCGUAGUCAAGCUAGAAUAUAGACAAAGAAUGGAAAAUUUAAAAGAAAAACUCUAAAAUUAGCAUAAAAAUCAUAAAAGCAGUAAACAACAACAACAACCCAGUAAUAAUUCCACUAGUGGGGUUUGGGGAGCGUAGAGUAUACGUAGACUUUACCGCUACCACGGAGGGGUAGAGAGACUGUUUCCGGGUCAUAAAAACAGCAAACAGUAGACAGAAAAAUCAUCAUAAUCAAAUAAGUGUCUUAGCAACAUAAAUAAACACAUUGAAAUAUAGAUGAAUAAUGGAACUUUAAAGAAAACAGUAAACAGUCUCGCAAUGGAAGCUAAUAUAAACCAGCAAACUUUAGAGAGAAAAAAAAUUAUCACAAGCAAACAAUUGACAUGAAGAAGUAAAUAAACAAAAUUGCAUACACAAUUCAGGAUAUACAGAGAUAAUGGAAUCAAAUUUUAGCAGCAAGAAACGAAAAUAAUGCGAACUACUGUAGUACCAAACUCUUUCUUUCAAAAAGUGUAAACACACAUACAAUAAGCAGCAAGGUUAGAGAUAAAACUCAUCAUAAACAAAUAAGUGAGAUUAAAAACAACAAAUUCUAUAAUAAAAACCUCCAUCACUAAUGAAAAACAAAAAAAUUCUUGCCUAAUCACCUCUCCCCAUCUCUUGUUUGGCCUACCUCUACCUCUCCCUCCAAUGUCAACCUCUCACACAUCCAAUGCUGGUCAUCACUAACUUAUCCAAUUAACAACAAAACCGCAUUGCUUUGACCCUCACCAGUCUCUUCUUCUUCCCUAUCAAUCGGCUUUUAAGAAAGCCCUAUCGAGUUUCAGACUAAACUUAAAUCUUUUUUUUUUUCCAAUAAAAAGCCUAAGGUUAAAGCCUAAGCCUUUCGAGUACAUUUUUAAACGCUGCAAACUACACAAGAAAUGGAACCAAUCAUAAUCAAUACGAUCUUAAAACUAGAAUUCAUACAAAGUACAAAACCAAAAAUAAACAAAACAUAUUUGAUGGUUCCUCGUUGUUCUCUUUGUUUGAGAACUACAAAUUACAUCAAAGAAAAUAAAAAAAAUCAUCUCUGUGUUCCGACAAAGAACAAAACCAAAAAUAAACAAAACAUAUUACUUUUUUCAGCCCAACAAGCUGAAAUUAGUAAGAAAUUGAAAACUUUGAUACCCAAAAAUUAAACAAAACGAAAUUACUCUUUUCAGCCCAAGAAUCUGAAAUUAGAAAAAGUUAGAAACUUUGAGUAUAAAACAAAGAUUGUACCAAAAUACCCAGAUAUUAUACAUAAUAGAAGAUUAUUUUUUCACCCCAUUAGUAAGAAACUAGAAAAAUUGAAUCUUAAAGUAUACUGAACAAAACUAGAAAUUGAAAAAAACGAAAAAGUUUUGAGUAAAUUAAAAAAAAUACUAACCAAUAGAGAAAGGGAUGGAGAUUUGUUAUGAUUGACAGUAAUCUGGAAGAUACAUGGAGCAAUGAAUGACAAGCAUUAGGUAACUGGAGACGAUGAAGCUAGGGUGAAGCGACAGAGGAGAGAAAAUAAUUGGGAAAAGUUUUUUCACUAGUAUUUGGGCGAUGAUUUUUUUGCCUUGUAUUGGGAUUUGGGGGAAAAUAUUUUCAUUAAGUGUAAUAUUUUGGGGGGAAAUAUUUUCUGUAGUGGUACGCUUAAAAACGUUACAAUUAGUAUGAUAAUAUAAUAGCUCUUCAAAAACGUUGCAUUACAAUUAAUAAGCGUUGCUAGAUAAUUUGUGAGUUAGCAACACUUAAAAAGUGUUGUCUUUACAAAUGUAAGAACACGCUUUUUAA
rnacentral:lncRNA from 1 species